rnacentral:tRNA from 1 species
UCGGCAUGUACCUGAAGGACAAGGACAGCCCGGGCUUCUCGCGUCCGGGAUUCGCCUCGAUGUUCAAGCUCCUGCGCCGAUCC